GGAGAGGGGCUUUGAUUGAGAAGUAAUGACAACACUGCUGUGAGAAAACCACCCAGAAGGAACUGAAGAGACUGACCAGAGAGACCACUAUUUGCAUUAAAAUUAAGGACUCUGGUCUACCAAAAUGUCAAUUUAUUAAAGCAUUAGCUCAGAAACUGCUCUCAGGGAGAUAAGGAUGGAAAGACAAGAUGUGAAGAAAAGUAACCUGUGCUGAAAGACAUAAACCCACAAUUGCAUGAGGAAAUCCACUCUGGUAUCCUACAGCCAAUAAAGGUAAUUUAGUGCCGAGGACAGGCAAGGAAGCCACAUCAGCAUUUGUGAAGACUAACAGCUCACACAGGAGGGAGGCUGGAGAGCAGGAGCUGCACAUGGCUCACUCUGGAUUUUGGAAUUUGUGCUGUUUUAACGAGCACAGCUAACAGGGUCCUCUGACACAUGCUUCUCCAAAUCAAGGGAUUUAUGAUUUUUAAUUUAUUUUACUUCCUGGGAAUACUGUGGAGUCCACUGAAACAUGAGAAUACAUAAAAUGUUUUGAGAUUCUCUAAGGAUGUGGACCACGGAAACACAACAUUUUGCAUUCAUGGUAAAGGCUAAAAGCACCCUGUUGGAUCCUGAGAUAUUAGAAACUGGUGGGCCUCCAGGCACAUAAAAGAAGGGUAAAAAAAGGGUUGAGUUGUUUUAUGUACUGCUGACAAGCAUGACACUGGUUAUCAUGGGGAAACCAAAUGUACAUCACAUGGGAAGGCAAUAAAGAAUUUCGGCUGGUUUUCAGGGUUCCCUCCACAUUCCCUCCUCAGCCUGUGGGAGUCAAACAUUUCCAAACUGAUAAUAGCUCAACUCAAAAAUUAAUUUUCAUUACUGAGUCUGCUUAAAAGAUGAUCUUUUGAGUAAGAAACAGCUAUUAAAUGCCAACUGUAUUUGACCUCUUGAAUUCUCAGUUCACCAACAUGUGAUUAAUAAUAAAUAAUAAUCUAGUUCAUAAAGUACUCCUAAACUGCCACUAAGAUGUUCUAAUGAAUCUUCACUGGCUUGAAACUACUUUUGUACAGAAAAUAUUGAGCAUCUUCAAAUAUAAUGGAAAAUUAAUAAAGUAUCAGGCUACAUUUUGCUUGCAUUUAUCCUGGUGAAAAGAUAGAUUUGCGUUUCUAAUCCACUUUUAUGUAAACCUACAAUCCUUUUUCUGCCCUGAAUUUUUUUUUCUUGGAAGAAAAAAAAAUGUGUUGUAUUUUUUUUGCCAAUUUAACCAAGCAAAUUCUCACCAAAACCAGCUAAGGGUGACAAAAAAUAGGGCUAGGUCUACA